AACGCACAUUGCGCCUAUUAGUAUUCUAGUAGGCAUGCCUGUUCGAGCGUCAUUAAGUCCACAUUAAGCCACGUUGCUUAGCGUUGGGAAUUUAUAGAGAUAUAAUUCCUUAAAUUUAGUGGCAGAAGUGAAACACACUCUGAGCGUAGUAAUUUUUAUCUCGCUUUUGCGGUUUGCUCACUUAUCGCCGUUAAACCCCUAAUUUUUAAUGGUUGACCUCGGAUCAGGUAGGAAUACCCGCUGAACUUAA
rnacentral:misc_RNA from 1 species